GUCACGCCCCGAACCCAGCACCCGGGUUCGGUACGCGACCGGCCGCAUGAGCCCUAGAGCAGUGCCCUAAAGAUCAUGCAAGGCCUAUGAUUAACAAAAAUUCCAAUAAAUUCACAAUUAAUUAAUAAUUCAAAUAGACAAUCCGACAUGCCCAAAUAAACACAUUAGUUCAAUUACAACAUCUUCAAAUGUUCAUCGACAUCAAAGAAGGAUAAACAAAUAAACUAACUAAUGACUCUGGUACUCGCACGCUGCGCCCAUCCCAUCCAAAUCUAAGCAUCCUGCAACUCUGAUAAAGAAAAAGAAGAAAAAAGGGGGGUGAGCUUUACAGCCCAGUAAGAAUCCCUACACAUCCACACCAACACAAUAAUAAUGAGAAUUUGUAAACCAUGACAAAUCAAUGCACAUAUCAUAAAAUCAUAUACCGGCUAUCAAAAGCUCGAAUAAUCAGUAUAAAUAUGCAAGUCAAAUAUCAACAAAAAUCCAGCAACUCAUGUGUGAUA
rnacentral:lncRNA from 1 species